CACUUUGGAAGCUCAAAGCCGCACUGGAAACACAGUCUUUCAGGAUGUCUGAAAGGGGCAAGUCUGUUUGUGUGGGGAAUCAAAGCUGGAGGAGCGGAAGAUAUACAGGGAGUCCACGGAGCCUCCCCUGCAAGCAUCAGUACAGAAGUCGAUGAUAAUCUGGAUGCAAGCCCAGGAGUGUGGAGUCCACUGACUCAGAAGACCUGCAUCUAAGGAAUUGGCUGUUCUUAUCCUUAAGAAUGAUGACUGUGUUUCCAAUUCCAGUAGACCCUUUGAUGCGUUCUGAAUAAAUAUUCCUUUUGGAAUUGAA
ensembl:lncRNA LINC02217 long intergenic non-protein coding RNA 2217